UUGAAAUGGAAUUAAACCUGCCUGUGUUAAAGGGGAUUAAAAGGAGGGAGAUCGUGCGCUCCGCCACGUCCUGCCGCUGCGCAGCGGCUCCGCGAGGAGGGCAGGGCCGGGGGCGAGGACACGGGGAAGCAGCUUGGGAGCCAUUAACAAAAAUGACAGAGUCUCAGCAGUGCUUAUGGAGUCACUGCUGCUGCUGGGCGGGGGGGAGAGGGACCUCGGUACCUGGCUAAUGCGCUAUCGACCAAAUUAACCCAAUAGUGUAGCGCUCAUUAUUCUUAGCCUCGCUUGGCUGUUGCUAAGCCAUUUUCUGUUGUCACUCCUCUUAAUAAAAUCUGUGACUUGAAUAAAUUUCCCCAGCAACUUUGUAUUGGCACCACAUCUGCGGUAUCAGCUAAAGAUUGGCCUUUAUCUGUUCCUUACAAAACGCACCCUGAUUGAAGUUCCCUAUUGUAAUGCUUCGCCUCCUGGAAUUUCGUGUGGAGUAAGGCAGAUUAGCAUUAACAUUUUGUUUGUAUUGAUGGGCAAUCAGUUGUUCUUCUGAUAAUGCUCAAGAAAACAGAAGACAGAGGCGCUGGCAAACGCAAAUGAAAUGUGAUCAUCUUAUCUCGUAAUUACUUGGGUAAACAAGCGCUGGAAAAUGAAGACUGCAACAAACACCUCGCAAAGUCAAUCAAUGUUUCGUUAAAAACCCCAAAACAAGAAGGAACAGGAGCGGACCCCUUGCAAAUAUCCUGACCCAAACUUCGUUGUGAGCAGGUGCAGAGGGGAAGGAGCCGCAGCUUGGCUUCACAGCUGCGUGGAUGUGACACCCGCGUAAGGGACGUGGCACUGAGUGCCUGCACGCAGCGGGAACACGGGGAGGCUUUUCCCGGCAGGAUUUCCCGUAGGUGGAGAAAUUAACAUGCAGCAGAGCCCCUGGUCCAGAUGUUCAGGCAGCGUGAGCUGGAGUCAUCCCCUGGUGCCGGCGCGGGUUUACACCAGCAGCGAGUUAAGGCUACAAAGGCUCAGAGCCCUGUCGAUCUCUUGCAGCCUUUCAGAUAAUGCAAAGUAAGUAAAGAAAACCCCCAAACAAAAAUAAAAGCACCCCCCACUGAUGCUCACUGAACUUCCUUAUUCCCUUCCUGCCAGCGUGCUCCUCCAGCCCAGCGCCUGGGUUCCCAUAGCAUCAUCCCGUCCCUAUGUAAAUGUGCGCUCUCCCCGCUGCCUUUGAUCUACCUUGAUGUAUAUGCAGUUGCGAUUCUGUUCUGUUAAAUGCCUGCUCUUGUGCCUAGAGCAUCACAGGCCCUUUUGAAUCCCUCAAACAAGCUGGAAUCAUUUUGA